AGAGCGGACGCUGCAGGCCCCGGAGUCAUCUGCACACAGCUAGCGUUAUCAGGCCAGCUCCUGCAGAAACAGGGACACAUUCAAAAGCUCCAACGGAAAAGAAUCAAAUCGGGGGCUGUCUAAAGGGAUGUUGGCAGGAUAGAAGGGAUUUACAAGGAAUGGUGGGCACCCAGCGAACAGCAGAGGUGGAAAAGCCAUUACCACGUUUCGGGUUGAAGAAGCCGAGAGGGAACAGUGUGUCUGAAGCAGUGAGAGUUAGAACCCUGG
rnacentral:lncRNA from 1 species